AUUUGGAAAGUGUUGGCUUGAGUUAAAGUUAGUGUCCUAUAAAUGUCAUAUAUAGGUGAAGGAUACUCAGUGUUGUGGAAUAGCUCAGGAACAAAGGUACAUCAGAUGUGGUCUUUGGCUAGGUUUCUGUAGCUACCUUUUGAUUUUGCAGAAAAAGCCACCACGUGAGAAUGGCCAUAAGCAGAUAAGUAGCAGUUCAACUGGAUGUCUCUCUUCUCCAAAUGCUACAGUACAAAGCCCUAAGCAUGAGUGGAAAAUCGUUGCUUCAGAAAAGACUUCAAGUAAGUAUAUGACACUUGCCAGAUUGUUUUCAGCUUACCUAUUUUUAAGGAGUGUUGCCAAUUUAAUACCUCUUAAAUUGACUACUCGAGGAAAAAACUCAGAAGCAAUUAAAUUUGGAAAACGAGAGCAGAUUGUUCCAGUCUGGGAUGUGGAGACUGAAGUCCAAUUCAGGAUCAUAUACACAAACCAAAAGUAAUAAUUACAUCUUAAACAUGGAACUCUUGUGCUUACAGAUAACACUUACUUGUGCCUGGCUGUGCUGGAUGGUAUAUUCUGUGUCAUUUUUCUUCAUGGGAGAAACAGCCCACAGAGCUCACCAACAAGUACUCCAAAACUAAGUAAGAGUUUAAGCUUUGAGAUGCAACAAGAUGAGCUAAUCGAAAAGCCCAUGUCUCCUAUGCAGUACGCACGAUCUGGUCUGGGAACAGCAGAGAUGAAUGGCAAACUCAUAGCUGCAGGUGGCUAUAACAGAGAGGAAUGUCUUCGAACAGUCGAAUGCUAUGAUCCACAUACAGAUCACUGGUCCUUUCUUGCUCCCAUGAGAACACCAAGAGCCCGAUUUCAAAUGGCUGUACUCAUGGGCCAGCUCUAUGUGGUAGGUGGAUCGAAUGGCCACUCAGAUGACCUGAGUUGUGGAGAGAUGUAUGACUCAAACAUAGAUGACUGGAUUCCUGUUCCAGAAUUGAGAACUAACCGUUGUAAUGCAGGAGUGUGUGCUCUGAAUGGAAAAUUAUACAUCGUUGGAGGCUCUGAUCCAUAUGGUCAAAAAGGACUGAAAAAUUGUGAUGUAUUUGAUCCUGUAACAAAGUUGUGGACAAGUUGUGCUCCUCUUAACAUUCGGAGACACCAGUCUGCGGUCUGUGAGCUUGGUGGUUAUUUGUACAUAAUCGGAGGUGCAGAAUCUUGGAAUUGUCUGAACACAGUAGAACGAUACAAUCCUGAAAAUAAUACCUGGACUUUAAUUGCACCCAUGAAUGUGGCUAGGCGAGGAGCUGGAGUGGCUGUUCUUAAUGGAAAACUGUUUGUAUGUGGUGGCUUUGAUGGUUCUCAUGCCAUCAGUUGUGUGGAAAUGUAUGAUCCAACUAGAAAUGAAUGGAAGAUGAUGGGAAAUAUGACUUCACCAAGGAGCAAUGCUGGGAUUGCAACUGUAGGGAACACCAUUUAUGCAGUGGGAGGAUUCGAUGGCAAUGAAUUUCUGAAUACGGUGGAAGUCUAUAACCUUGAGUCAAAUGAAUGGAGCCCCUAUACAAAGAUUUUCCAGUUUUAACAAAUUUAAGACCCUCUCAAACUAACAGGCUUAGUGAUGUAAUUAUGGUUAGUAGAGGUACACUUGUGAAUAAAGAGGGUGGGUGGGUAUAGAUGUUGCAUACAGCAACACAAAGCUUUUGCAUAUUGCAUAUUAUUAAACAUGCUGUACAUACUUUUUGUGUUUAUUUGGAAAGGAAUGCAAAGAUGAAGGUCUGUUUUGUGUACUUUUAAGACUUUGGUUAUUUUACUUUUUGGAAAAGAAUAAACCAAGAAUUGAUUGGGC
rnacentral:sRNA from 1 species